AUCUCUUUCUGGAGAUUGUUUCUGUUGGAGGUUUUCUAUGAGCUGAGGACAUGGAUGCAGUUUAGGACUUGUCUAUCUGUUCUGGAUAUAUAUUCCUUUGUGCACGUUCAGGAGAAUUCUGUACUGUCAUCUGCUGAAUGUAAAGACUUAUUUCUGUGGUGAGUGUCUGAAAUGGAACAACUCCUGACAAGAGAGAGAAUGAACAGUUGGCAUCAUGGAUUUGAAUUAGAAAUAUCUCAGAACAAUUAAAUGUAGACAUUCUUUCAUGAUUAAAAAAAAAAAUGAAACAGAGUACUGUUAGAUCUUUCCUAGUCUGCAUCGAGUAUUUAUUUGUGAACUGCGUAUUUUAAGAAGUUAGUUUCUGACAAAAUGAAUUUAGUUUUCCUACAUCAUACCCUUGUAUACACUAUUUCCAAGAACAUUUUCAAAGCUUGUUACUGUAUUUUAACUAGUAGAGACUGAGAAUGACCUGGAAACGUCAAACAUAUUUUUAAGUCUGGAAGGAGUGAGUUUCAGCUUCUAGGCUGAUCAGAAAUCAAGAAUGGUAGAAAUACUCAGUUUUGUCUCUUCUUUUUUGUUUUCCUCUUACCAGACUGGUUAGGCUGAACAAUAAAACAGUGUGAUUUAAAAUCUUGCUGUCUUGUAUGUGGAACUAUCAAAAUUGAAGUCAGUCAAUGAUCAGAACCAAUUGCUAUUACAUUCAAAUUUUAAGGUAUUUUAGGAAGUACAAUAUAUAGGAUCAAAUAAGAACACUAGAAAUCAAGCCAGACAGGGAAUAGAUGUGCAGACUCAUGAUGAACCAUGAAUGCAUAUAUUGGCAGUAAUUUCCUGCAAGCUGUCAUGCAGCAACUUGGUGUAUGCAAAUUCUGUGAGACAGUAAAUCUCUGAAAAACUUGAAUGAAAAAAUACAUACUGGAAAACAGCAAAGAAAGUGACUAAUAAGCAGAUUCAGCUUUUGAAAGUGCUCAUGUUCUGAGUUUAAGCUUACUUGCUGUGACCGUCUUUUUGAGGAUUAAAUGAGUAACUAUGCUUCAUGUUCCCAUUAUGUAAAUUUUAAUAUGUUCCUAAUUUUCAUGCUUUUCUGGAUGAAGAAAGGCUACGUUUUAAACUAGAAUGCAAUACUGGAAAUUUUCUGCUUUCACUUGUU
ensembl:lncRNA